GAUGAACGCUGGCGGCGUGCUUAACACAUGCAAGUCGAACGGUGAAGCCCUGCUUGCUGGGUGGAUUAGUGGCGAACGCGUGAGUAACACGUGAGUAACCUGCCCUUAACUCUGGGAUAAGACUGGAAAACAGGGUCUAAUACCGGAUAGAAGCGUCCACCCCACGGUGGGGGGUGGGAAGAUUUAUCGGUUUUGGAUGGACUCGCGGCCUAUCAGCUUGUUGGUGUGGUAAUGGCUCACCAAGGCGACGACGGGUAGCCGGCCUGAGAGGGUGACCGGCCACACUGGGACUGAGACACGGCCCAGACUCCUACGGGAGGCAGCAGUGGGGAAUAUUGCACAAUGGGCGGAAGCCUGAUGCAGCGACGCCGCGUGAGGGAUGACGGCCUUCGGGUUGUAAACCUCUUUCGGUAGGGAAGAAGCGAGAGUGACGGUACCUGCAAAAGAAGCACCGGCUAACUACGUG
rnacentral:rRNA from 1 species